GUAGGUGGCAAGCGUUGUCCGGAAUUAUUGGGCGUAAAGCGCGCGCAGGCGGUCCUUUAAGUCUGAUGUGAAAGCCCACGGCUCAACCGUGGAGGGUCAUUGGAAACUGGGGGACUUGAGUACAGAAGAGGAAAGCGGAAUUCCAAGUGUAGCGGUGAAAUGCGUAGAGAUUUGGAGGAACACCAGUGGCGAAGGCGGCUUUCUGGUCUGUAACUGACGCUGAGGUGCGAAAGCGUGGGGAGCAAACAGGGAUUAGAUACCCUGGUAGUCCACGCCGUAAACGAUGAGUGCUAAGUGUUAGGGGGUUUCCCGCCCCUUAGUGCUGCAGCUAACGCAUUAAGCACUCCGCCUGGGGAGUACGGCCGCAAGGCUG
rnacentral:rRNA from 1 species